rnacentral:lncRNA from 1 species
AACAGAUUCUGGUGGUCAAUAUAGGCAACUCAGGUGGCCCAUCCAACCAAGCCAAUCAAAUAUUGAGGCUCGGAACAAAAUAGAAUUACAUCCAUGCUUGGAAUCAGAAGUCUGUGCUCAUAGAAAUGUUAGGUCUUCCUCCAAGGCAUCAGCAGUUUCAUCAUUGCCUCGGCCAACCAAGGAUUAGGUCUAACCUCGGCUUCCUCUGACUUAGUCUUUUUCCGAUCAACGUACUCCUUUAGGUGUCCAUCCUGAAUGAGCUGAUCGAGAAAAG